rnacentral:sRNA from 1 species
AUUAAUCGGUAGGUAAGGUUACCGCAGGGAUACGGGUUGCUGCCGCGAAGUGGUGGAGACACUAUAAGAGGGUCAGCAAAUCAUAUCGAACCAAGGUGUGAUUUAAUGCAAUUUCAUGCCCUGCGAUACUAAAGCUUGU